rnacentral:rRNA from 1 species
CCUACGGGGGACAGCAGUGAGGAAUAUUGGUCAAUGGCCGGAAGGCUGAACCAGCCAUGCCGCGUGAAGGUCAGUGCCCUAUGGGCGUUAAACUUCUUUUGUGCGGGAGCAAUAAUGGUCACGUGUGGCCAGACGACAGUACCGUACGAAUCAGCAUCGGCUAACUCCGUGCCAGCAGCCGCGGUAUUACGCGGAAUGCACGCGUUUUCCGGAGUAAUUGGGUUUAAAGGGUGAGUAGGCUGUGAGGUCAGUCAGCGGUGAAAUGUCCCCGCUCAACGGGGUGAAGUGCCAUUGAUACUGCCUUGCUGGAAUGCGGAUGCCGUGGGAGGAAUGUGUGGUGUAGCGGUGAAAUGCAUAGAUAUCACACAGAACACCGAUGGCGAAGGCAUCUCACGAAUCCGCGAUUGACGCUGAUGCACGAAAGCGUGGGUAUCAAACAGGAUUAGAUACCCCUGUAGUC